CCCAGAUGACCCCAAAGUCAAGCAAAACACACAGGUCGAUGUCGAACCCCAGCCAGUGGACACCGAGAAUGAUGUUCCUGAUAUGCAACCAGACCCACAGAUUCCUGCCCCAUUCCAGCCAGAAAGUACACAGGCUGGCCUGUUGAUACAAGCAGCUCUGCAGAGGAGGGUGGCACAGCUUGAAA
rnacentral:lncRNA from 1 species